ACCUAAUUGACUCAAUGGGUAGAGUAUAUGACUCUUGAUCUUGAGGUUGUGAAUUCAAGUCCCAUGUUAGGUG
rnacentral:tRNA from 1 species